CUGAAUGACUGAUCAGUGCGUGCAAGU
rnacentral:piRNA from 1 species